rnacentral:rRNA from 1 species
AAACGAUGUCGACUAGUUGUUGGUGGGGUUAAACCCAUUAGUAACGUAGCUAACGCGUGAAGUCGACCGCCUGGGGAGUACGGCCGCAAGGUUAAAACUCAAAGGAAUUGACGGGGACCCGCACAAGCGGUGGAUGAUGUGGAUUAAUUCGAUGCAACGCGAAAAACCUUACCUACCCUUGACAUGCCAGGAACUUUCCAGAGAUGGAUUGGUGCCCGAAAGGGAGCCUGGACACAGGUGCUGCAUGGCUGUCGUCAGCUCGUGUCGUGAGAUGUUGGGUUAAGUCCCGCAACGAGCGCAACCCUUGUCAUUAGUUGCCAUCAUUUAGUUGGGCACUCUAAUGAGACUGCCGGUGACAAACCGGAGGAAGGUGGGGAUGACGUCAAGUCCUCAUGGCCCUUAUGGGUAGGGCUUCACACGUCAUACAAUGGUCGGUACGGAGGGUUGCUAAGCCGCGAGGUGGAGCCAAUCCCAGAAAGCCGAUCGUAGUCCGGAUCGUAGUCUGCAACUCGACUACGUGAAGUCGGAAUCGCUAGUAAUCGCGGAUCAGCAUGUCGCGGUGAAUACGUUCCCGGGUCUUGUACACACCGCCCGUCACACCAUGGGAGCGGGUUCUGCCAGAAGUAGUUAGCCUAACCGCAAGGAGGGCGAUUACCACGGCAGGGUUCGUGACUGGGGUGAAGUCGUAACAAGGUAGCCGUAUCGGAAGGUGCGGCUGGAUCACCUCCUU